NNCCCGGUCACCCCGCAGCCCUGCGUCGUGCGGCCCGUCCCGCCCGGGGCCCGCGGCCGCUCCAGAGGGGCCGGCGGCUUUCCUAGGAAGGAGACGGGAGACGGGGCCGAGGGUCUGCUAGAAGGCGCGUCGCCGGGAGCCCGAGCCCACGGAAACCGGUUCCCACCGCGGCCGCCGACCCUGUUGCGCGUGUGGCGAGCGCCCCCCCGUGGGCGCGGCGGGCACUGCCCGGGGACGGAGCCGGCCUGGGGGCUCCGCUGCUCCCCGACGCCUCCGCAGCCUCCGCAGCCUCCUCCUCCUCAUCAUCAUCCUCUUCAGCAUCAUCAUCCUCCCCCCGCCUCCUCCUCCUCCUCAUCCUCAUCCUCCCCCGCCUCCUCCUCCUCCUCAUCUUCCUCCACCUUCUCCUCAUCCUCCUCCACCUCCUACUCAUCAUCAUCAUCCUCCUCAUCCUCCUCAUCCUCAUCCUCCCCCGCCUCCUCCUCCUCCUCCUCCUCAUCUUCCUCCACCUCCUCCUCAUCCUCCUCCACCUCCUACUCAUCAUCAUCAUCCUCAUCCUCCUCAUCCUCCCCUGCCUCCUCCACCUCCUCCUCCUCCUCCUCCUCCACCUCCUCCUCAUCCUCCACCUCCUCCUCAACCUCAUCUUCCUCAUCCUCAUCCUCCUCCUCCACCUCCUUCUCCUCCUCCUCCUCCGCCUUUCUCCUCCUCCUCCUCCUCCUCCUCAUCCUCAUCCUCAUCCUUCUCCUCCUAAUCCUUCUCCUCUGCAGCCUCCUCCACCUCCUCCUCUUCCUCCUCCUCCUCAUCUUCCUCAUCCUCAUCCUCCUCCUCUACCUCCUUCUCCUCCUCCUCCUCCGCCUCCUUCUCUUCCUCCUCCUCCUCCUCCUCCUCAUCCUCAUCCUUCUCCUCCUAAUCCUUUUCCUCGGCAGCCUCCUCCACCUCCUCCUCCUCCUCCACCUCCUCCNNNNNNNNNNNNNNNNNNNNNNNNNNNNNNNNNNNNNNNNNNNNNNNNNNNNNNNNNNNNNNNNNNNUCCUCCUCCGCCUCCUCCUCCUCAUCAUCAUCCUCCUCAUCCUCCUCAUCCUCCCCAUCCUCCCCUGCCUCCUCCUCAUCCUCAUCUUCCUCAUCCUCAUCCUCCUCCUCCACCUCCUCCUCCUCAUCAUCCUCCUCAUUCUCAUCCUCAUCCUCCUCAUCUCCUCAUCCUCCUCUGCCUCCUCCUCCUCAUCAUCCUCCUCAUCCUCCUCCUAAUCCUCCUCCUUCACAGCCUCUUUCUCCUCCUCCUCCUCAUCUCACCCUCCUCUGCCUCCUCCUCAUCAUCAUCCUCCUCAUCUUCCUCCACCUCCUCCUUCUCAUCUUCCUCCUCCUCCUAAUCCUCCUCCUCCUCAGCCUCUUUCUCCUCCUCCUCCUCCUCCUUGUCCUCCUCCUCAUCCUCAUCCUCCUCCUCCACCUCCUCAUCAUCAUCCUCCUCCUCAUCCUCAUCCUUCUUCUCCUCCUCCUCCUAAUCCUCCUCCACCGCCUCCACCUCAUCAUCAUCCUCCUCCUCAUCUUCAUCCUCCCCGUCUGCCUCCUCCUCAUCAUCCUCCUCCUCACCCUCAUCCUCCUCCUCUGCCUCCUCCGCCUCCUCCUCAUCAUCAUCCUCCACCUCCUACUCAUCCUCCUCCUCCUAAUCCUCCUCUGCCUCCUCCUCAUCCUCCUGUUCCUCCUCCUCCCCCUCCUCCUCUUCCCCUUCCCU
rnacentral:lncRNA from 1 species